UGUCUUCCAACUGUUACGGUUUAGUAAGCUGACAGUUGGUUAUUUCGACCUUGUAAAAACUGGUUAAUAAAACUGUUGUUAUAAAACGUAGCCAUAGCUUCGUGUGGUGAUAUAGUGUUGAUCAGUUUGUUAGUUUAAUUAUGUACCAAGUUUCAAAAUUAACCGGCAAAUAAUAGAUUCGGAAGGGAUACCACCCGGCUAAGCUAACUUAGCUAAGCUAAUUAGCAGUUGUGGGUGAGCUACAAUCUACUCAGCAACUCUUGUUAUACCAAAGAAGCUAACUGAGGGUUUGACCUGCUGAUGGUUGGAGUGACCUGAAGAUCCAACGGCGGAGGAAGAGUGUGAAAUCAACUGUUUACGGUACUUUGCUGAAACCCAACACAUAAGACCCUCAGGGGGUUUUUUUCACCACAUUUGCAAAAUUGACCUGAGUGGCAGCAGCUCCAGGUUGUUAGCAGUCCGUGUCUGUCUGCUGCUGGUUGGCAGAGAUUGGACAGAAUCAGCUUUUCAGAAGAAUGAAACUGCGAAACGUCGGGAUAAAGCCUCUCAAAAACAU